UUGUAAAGAAAAAAAACACAACCACACACGCACGGUCUCGCGCUCGCCUCCCUCUCGCCCAGGAAGUCCUUGCCGCCGCCGCCGCCCACGCCGGCCGCUUCCGGCGAGCUCCAGCGCCGUGCAGCGCGUAACCGAGCUCCCCACGCUCCACGCCUCCCUCCCCUUCGGCCAGAUUCUCCGCUCCCGGCCUCUAUCGUCCGUUCGCAACCCCACCCCCAUGGCUAGAGUUUCGGGCAAGGCUUCGCCGGCGCGUCUCCAUCCCCGCUUGCUGCCUUCUCCCACCACGCCGGCCUCCCUUCCCUAGCAACCCUCCUGCCGUGGAGCACCCUCACACUGGACACUCCUUUCUUUCCCCCUCCCGUCGCCGAACUGGAGCAGCAGCCGCUCCUCCUCCACCUCCCCAAUUUGGGACAGCAACACCACGAGCUAACACCCCGGCGACGAUCUCCUGUUGGUGUGGGUCGGCGUGGGCUUGCCCGAUCUGGGGUAGAUGCGCCGGUUCCAGCGUGGAGAGAUGAGAAGGAAGGUGGGACGGGAGGCCAAGGCAAUGACGAAAUCCACGUCGAGCUGCCAUGGCCAUGACCAGAUCCACGACGAGGUUAAAUGGGGUCGGCUGCUCCCUACAGGACGACGAAGCUCUCCAAGGGCGGGCCUUCUCUUCUCCUCGAAAUUGAUGUGCCUGUGGCAUGCUUGCUUUUCAUGUAUUGACCUCGCGAAAUACAAGAGCAUCUCAUCUUGAUUUGGUGUUCUAUUAAAGGAGCAAUGAGCUAGGGGAUUUUUCAGGGGAUGGGUGCCUACCUUGCUUGGUUACAGUGCUCAGGGGGCUUGCAAGUUUGGGUUCUACGAGUUCUUUAAGAAGACCUACUCAGAUAUGGCUGGGCCUGAGAAUGCCGUGAAGUACAAGACCCUAAUUUACCUUGCAGGGCCAGCUUCUGCUGAGGUAAUUGCUGAUAUCGCUCUGUGCCCCUUUGAAGCUGUCAAGGUCCGUGUGCAGACACAGCCUGGAUUUGCUCGUGGGUUGAGUGAUGGGCUUCCCAAGUUCAUCAAAGCUGAGGGUGCUGCUGGGAUGGAGAGAAUAUGUAAGGCUAAUGUUUGAGCAGAAGGAGAGUGAAAAGAUGCAAGAGUGAUACACCCAAGCACUUGAUUUGAGUCAAACAUGGUUUGUUGUACAGGAUUCCACCGUAUUUGUCCGCACAAAUAGUGCUUGAUAUUUACUGAUAAUAGUUUUUCUCCAAGUUCAGUGCCUACAUCUUUAUUUUCCUAAUAUAGUCAUAUUGCCCAUAAACGUGCAUCUUUUAUUUUGAGUUCUUCCUGGGUGCCACACUGAAGGCGAAUUCUUCCUAGAUGUAUCAUGCACCUGUAUCUUGCCGUUCUAUAUUCUCAAAGGUUUCGGACACCACUUUGACCUGCGACAAAUAUUUGGACUAUUUAUUUAGUGACACUGAUCAUAGCUGCCCGCAGGUUUUAUUCACUCACCAACUCUGGCUUUUGGUGUACACGGUACACCGUGAGGCAAGUAGGUUGACAAUUUCAUCUGUUAUCAUGAGUGUCGUGUUUACUCUUGCAGUUCAGUUAUUAAGCUUAUGCUUAAGAUGAUUGUACUGUCUAGAGGUGGAAUGGCUAAGCUCUCUUUAUAAUCCUUUUACUGGAUAUCUUGCAAAUGGCACACUAAAGGGGAUGAAAGUAUUAGGUGUGGGGGUAUCAGUCCACUAUGUUCUUAUGUCUAUGGAUCCGCGAAAUGUUGACGCUUUAUUGGUUUUGGUCACAAAAAUGUUUGGUGUACAUGCUUUCAUCUUGAAUAUAUGUAGCUCUAAAGUAAUACUACUUCCCAGUUAGUUCAUUGAAGUAAUGAUACAAUCAAUUGGAUGCUUUUCUACUGUUAUGGAUCUAGCGGGAAAAAAAAGUUGUUUUGAUGUCAUUGUUUUUCACCAUAGUUCAUUGUCAACAUCUUUAUUCUCCUAAUACAGUCAUAUUAUCCAUAUAAGUGCAGCUUUUAGUUCGUAAAAGUACUUUGUACUUAGCCCAAUUGAUUUAAAUAGAUCCCUUGUUUAUACAGUAUGUAUGAGACACCUUGCAAUUAUUUCACUAGAUCGAUGGAUGAUAGCUUGCUGUUGCAGAUGAAACCGAAGAAACUGUAUCUAUCCUGGGCCAGUUGCCAACCAAGCCAACAUUGUCUCAGUUACCGGUUCAAAGAUGUCUCAAACCACGCACAAACAUUUCAGUUGAUACAUACGCCAUAAGUUUGGUUGUCUGCUCUUUUAAAUGCCCAGAAGCAUAACUCUCGAGAUCAUUGCGGAGAUCAUUGCUCACUGAACAUAAGACCAGAUGUUCCAAUUUAUUUUAUUGCUCAAAGAAGAAUUGGUGUUCUGUUGUGUUAUCCUGUGACACUAUAUGGCAUCAGGUUGUUUGCUUCUAUCGAUUGGUUUGUGGUUUGUGGGUUGUGCUUUGCACCGUCGUUAUCAGUGUUUCUGUUAGAUUAUUGUCUGAUCUGUUCCACCAACAGAUAUGGAAGUUGUUGGUGUGGUGAUCGUUGUAGGGCCCGGGCUGACUGGCAGGAAAGUUGGGGAUGUCGUCGCGUAUACAGGCAAGCCGAUGGGCUCUUAUGCUGAAGAGCAGAUUAUUCCAGCCAAUGUUGGUUCCCGUCACGCCUUUGAUUGAUCACACAGUGGCUGCUAUCAUGCUCAAGGGGGUGACUGCCCAUAUGCUGGUUCGCCACAUAUUUAAGGCAUCAUUAGAGUGCUUGGCGUCCUGCGUUUUCCUGGUGUCGUUCGGCAGUCCUCAGCCUCGCCCGACCCGAUCUCCAUGGGCGACCUGGCAUCCAAGUCGUUGUUCCUGACGAGGCCGAGCAUGAUGCACUACACGGGCACCUGCAACGAGUUGCUUGAGGCAGCCGGCGAGUUGUUUCCAAUGUGGUCUAUGGGGUGCUGCACAUCCGUGUGAAGCACACCCACCCGCUGCCGAAGGCGUCCCGCGCUCACACUAACCUCAAGGCCCAGAAGACGCCGGGCUCCAUACUGCUGACCCCGUAGAACUAAGCACCGUCAUCUUUUUUUUGGGUAGGAGAAGAAGGAAUAAACAGGGGACUCUGCGAUCUAUGUGCUCUAGAAUCUACAAUGCUUGUGAAUAUGUUGGUAGGAGUUGGCAUCUGAACACUGAAUCCUAUCAGUUUGUUUCACCUGGUUAUGUUGGAUUCAGUGGUGGUUAUGAGUUGGAUUGUGGUCUUGUUGUGCACAUCACAGUUUAAAGCAUGACGAGUUGUAAAGUCUAAUAUUUUUCAAUAUGGUCACCUAGCAGGACAAGUAUUUCCCUUA